rnacentral:rRNA from 1 species
UAGGGAAUCUUCCACAAUGGACGCAAGUCUGAUGGAGCAACGCCGCGUGAGUGAAGAAGGCUUUCGGGUCGUAAAACUCUGUUAUUGAAGAAGAACGUGCGUGACAGUAACUGGUCAUGCAGUGACGGUAUUCAAUCAGAAAGUCACGGCUAACUACGUGCCAGCAGCCGCGGUAAUACGUAGGUGGCAAGCGUUGUCCGGAUUUAUUGGGCGUAAAGCGAGUGCAGGCGGUCUUUUAAGUCUGAUGUGAAAGCCUUCGGCUUAACCGAAGAAGGGCAUCGGAAACUGGGAGACUUGAGUGCAGAAGAGGAGAGUGGAACUCCAUGUGUAGCGGUGAAAUGCGUAGAUAUAUGGAAGAACACCAGUGGCGAAGGCGGCUCUCUGGUCUGUAACUGACGCUGAGGCUCGAAAGCGUGGGUAGCAAACAGGAUUAGAUACCCUGGUAG